UACGGAGGGGGCGAGCGUUAUUCGGAAUUAUUGGGCGUAAAGGGCGCGUAGGCGGCUUGGCAAGUCAAAGGUGAAAUCCCUCGGCUCAACUGAGGAACUGCCUUUGAAACUGCCUGGCUUGAGGCCGGGAGGGGGUAGCGGAAUUCCCAGUGUAGCGGUGAAAUGCGUAGAUAUUGGGAGGAACACCGGUGGCGAAGGCGGCUCUCUGGACCGGUACUGACGCUGAUCUGCGAAAGCUAGGGGAGCAAACGGG
rnacentral:rRNA from 1 species